UUGAUUUAUUUCUUAGUGCUUCAGAAGACGCGUUUCAGAAGAGUUUUUGGGGGUGCUUUCGGCAGGCCUUGUAGGCGCCCCGCCCUGGGGCGGCCUGCCGAGGCAACAGAGAAUUCAGGAACACAAUGGUUUGGAGUUUUGCAACUCGGUAAUGAUCCCUCCGCUGGUUCACCAACGGAGA
rnacentral:misc_RNA from 1 species